rnacentral:rRNA from 1 species
AGAUUAAACUGAAGAGUUUGAUCCUGGCUCAGAUUGAACGCUGGCGGCAUGCCUUACACAUGCAAGUCGAACGGCAGCGCGGGGCAACCUGGCGGCGAGUGGCGAACGGGU